rnacentral:sRNA from 1 species
UCUCCAUCUAUUCCCCACCGCGACCGCGCAAGGGCAAACUGGCACAGUGGAAGGAGUCGGGCAGAUCCAGGGCGGAGUCCUGGCGCCGCCGCCCACUCUCAGUGACCAUGGACCCUUCACGUUCUGAGCCAGUUUCUUCGACUGCAAACUGGGGCCCGUAAUAGCGCCCGCCUCCCGGUUCUGAGUAUUCUAGAGGUCCACCGGGAGAGCGGGGCCCCCCGGGUCCCCCGGGACCGCCGGGAGUGCCUGGAUCCGACGGCAUCGACGCGGCGCCGGCCCGCACCACAAGGACGCCGUUUGUUCUGCAAAAACCUCAAACCAGCCCUGACAUGCGGAGCCCGUUAUAGCCGCCGACAGACAAGGAGCUGCUGUUCAGUCCGCCGGCCGCAGCUCACAGCGAGGCCUCAUCCCCCUCCUCUCCUUUCCCCUCCUUGUGGGGUAGGAGGCGACUCAACCCCUCACCCUGCCUCUGGCACAUCUGGACGCUUCUUC